ACCUCCCAGAGGCUGCCACUUUCUUCAGGGCUAGCAGAUGAAGGCAGCAAGGAAAACACCACCACAAGACCGACUUUAGGCUGGAGCUGAUGAUGCCACACGGCAAAUCAGCAAGAAAAAAGAAAAUAGACUCAGAAAUGAAACUCAACUAAAGGUAAAAGAUGUCUGGAACAUCUCCAAGAAAGCCAGAGUCAGCCUCUAAACUUUGCAUCAAGAAUGGCAAUGGCUUCCCUGAGGGCCCAGGGACGCUUGGCAGCUGUGAGGGAUCCCCUUCUCUGCUAUCAAGGAACUGGACACUUCUCCUGUCCCUUCCCACAAGGGGCUUCCUGGAGCUCCUGCAACCCCAGGCAUUAGUUCCAGUGCAGUUCUAGGAUCAGAUCAAUUCACUCGACAACAAGAGAAACAAAUGGAGAUUCCUACACAAAGACUUUCAAGCACAAAGAAAUCCUGCUGCCUAUAAAGCAGAGCUGCCUCAGCUCUUGAUGAACGACAGAAAAUCUCAAAUUCCAGGAAUUCAGAUGAAGUGAAGUGCUCUCAUGGGGACCAGGCGUGGGUAUGCCAGUCCACUGCCCUGCAAGUCUCAAGGGAAACCAACUGCCCAUCAGCAAGUCACACCUGCCUUGGUGGAGGCAUUGAUUGGAAGGGCCACAGGCUACAUGUCCAGUCCUGAGUGGGAGAAUCGGUGUAGGGAUGUUCUGGGGAUGCUGGCUGUGGCUAGAUCAGGUCCAGCUACAGAAGAAUAAUGAAGACUUCACCUGAGGGCUGGAAAAACAAAACCUCAAGUGUGAGGCAGCCAACCUAUUACCUCGAGGGACUGUCCCGCAGCACAGCAGGGCCAUGGGAACAGCAGCAGACACCCCGGCCUCCUCACUACCUGUGUGUGUAUUAGACACCCAGCCUCCUCACUACCUGUGUAUUAGACACCCCGGCCUU
rnacentral:lncRNA from 1 species